GAAUUAAUAUGCCCCUGUUUGAGCUGCUAACUCAAUAAGAAAUGGUUUAACUCCAUUUUUGAUUCA
rnacentral:tRNA from 1 species